rnacentral:rRNA from 1 species
GACAGAGGGUGCAAACGUUGUUCGGAAUUACUGGGCGUAAAGCGAGUGUAGGCGGUGUGGUAAGUCGGAUGUGAAAGCCCCGGGCUCAACCCGGGAAGUGCAUUCGAUACUGCCACGCUAGAGUAUCGGAGAGGUUGGUGGAAUUCUCGGUGUAGAGGUGAAAUUCGUAGAUAUCGAGAGGAACACCAGUGGCGAAGGCGGCUCACUGGCCCGGUACUGACGCUGAGAUGCGAAAGCGUGGGGAGCAAACAGG